rnacentral:rRNA from 1 species
AGAGUUUGAUCAUGGCUCAGAUUGAACGCUGGCGGCAGGCCUAACACAUGCAAGUCGAACGGUAACAGGAAGAAGCUUGCUUCUUUGCUGACGAGUGGCGGACGGGUGAGUAAUGUCUGGGAAACUGCCUGAUGGAGGGGGAUAACUACUGGAAACGGUAGCUAAUACCGCAUAACGUCGCAAGACCAAAGAGGGGGACCUUCGGGCCUCUUGCCAUCGGAUGUGCCCAGAUGGGAUUAGCUUGUUGGUGGGGUAACGGCUCACCAAGGCGACGAUCCCUAGCUGGUCUGAGAGGAUGACCAGCCACACUGGAACUGAGACACGGUCCAGACUCCUACGGGAGGCAGCAGUGGGGAAUAUUGCACAAUGGGCGCAAGCCUGAUGCAGCCAUGCCGCGUGUAUGAAGAAGGCCUUCGGGUUGUAAAGUACUUUCAGCGGGGAGGAAGGGAGUAAAGUUAAUACCUUUGCUCAUUGACGUUACCCGCAGAAGAAGCACCGGCUAACUCCGUGCCAGCAGCCGCGGUAAUACGGAGGGUGCAAGCGUUAAUCGGAAUUACUGGGCGUAAAGCGCACGCAGGCGGUUUGUUAAGUCAGAUGUGAAAUCCCCGGGCUCAACCUGGGAACUGCAUCUGAUACUGGCAAGCUUGAGUCUCGUAGAGGGGGGUAGAAUUCCAGGUGUAGCGGUGAAAUGCGUAGAGAUCUGGAGGAAUACCGGUGGCGAAGGCGGCCCCCUGGACGAAGACUGACGCUCAGGUGCGAAAGCGUGGGGAGCAAACAGGAUUAGAUACCCUGGUAGUCCACGCCGUAAACGAUGUCGACUUGGAGGUUGUGCCCUUGAGGCGUGGCUUCCGGAGCUAACGCGUUAAGUCGACCGCCUGGGGAGUACGGCCGCAAGGUUAAAACUCAAAUGAAUUGACGGGGGCCCGCACAAGCGGUGGAGCAUGUGGUUUAAUUCGAUGCAACGCGAAGAACCUUACCUGGUCUUGACAUCCACGGAAGUUUUCAGAGAUGAGAAUGUGCCUUCGGGAACCGUGAGACAGGUGCUGCAUGGCUGUCGUCAGCUCGUGUUGUGAAAUGUUGGGUUAAGUCCCGCAACGAGCGCAACCCUUAUCCUUUGUUGCCAGCGGUCCGGCCGGGAACUCAAAGGAGACUGCCAGUGAUAAACUGGAGGAAGGUGGGGAUGACGUCAAGUCAUCAUGGCCCUUACGACCAGGGCUACACACGUGCUACAAUGGCGCAUACAAAGAGAAGCGACCUCGCGAGAGCAAGCGGAUCUCAUAAAGUGCGUCGUAGUCCGGAUUGGAGUCUGCAACUCGACUCCAUGAAGUCGGAAUCGCUAGUAAUCGUGGAUCAGAAUGCCACGGUGAAUACGUUCCCGGGCCUUGUACACACCGCCCGUCACACCAUGGGAGUGGGUUGCAAAAGAAGUAGGUAGCUUAACCUUCGGGAGGGCGCUUACCACUUUGUGAUUCAUGACUGGGGUGAAGUCGUAACAAGGUAACCGUAGGGGAACCUGCGGUUGGAUCACCU